rnacentral:rRNA from 1 species
GACGAACGCUGGCGGCGUGCUUAACACAUGCAAGUCGAACGGUAAGGCCCUUUCGGGGGUACACGAGUGGCGAACGGGUGAGUAACACGUGAGUAACCUGCCCUUGACUCUGGGAUAACAUCUGGAAACAGGUGCUAAUACUGGAUAUUCUGCGAUGCCUGCAUGGGUGUUGUUGGAAAGUUCCGGCGGUCAGGGAUGGACUCGCGGCCUAUCAGCUUGUUGGUGGGGUAGUGGCUCACCAAGGCUUCGACGGGUAGCCGGACUGAGAGGUUGACCGGCCACAUUGGGACUGAGAUACGGCCCAAACUCCUACGGGAGGCAGCAGUGGGGAAUAUUGCACAAUGGACGGAAGUCUGAUGCAGCAACGCCGCGUGCGGGAUGACGGCCUUCGGGUUGUAAACCGCCUUCAUCCAUGACGAAGCGAGAGUGACGGUAGUGGGAGAAGAAGCACCGGCUAACUACGUGCCAGCAGCCGCAGUAAAAC